rnacentral:rRNA from 1 species
UACAGAGACUGCAAGCGUUAUUCGGAUUCACUGGGCGUAAAGGGUGCGCAGGCGGCCAAGUGUUUUAGGUGUGAAAGCCCGGGGCUUAACCCCGGAAUUGCACCUAAAACUACAUGGCUAGAGCAUUGGAGAGGGGAGCAGAAUUCACGGUGUAGCAGUGAAAUGCGUAGAUAUCGUGAGGAAUACCAGAGGCGAAGGCGGCUCCCUGGACAAUUGCUGACGCUCAGGCACGAAAGCGUGGGGAGCAAAAGGG